rnacentral:rRNA from 1 species
AGAUUGAACGCUGGCGGCAUGCCUUGCACAUGCAAGUCGAACGGCAGCACGGGAGCAAUCCUGGUGGCGAGUGGCGAACGGGUGAGUAAUACAUCGGAACGUGCCCAAUCGUGGGGGAUAACGCAGCGAAAGCUGUGCUAAUACCGCAUAAGAUCUACGGAUGAAAGCAGGGGAUCGCAAGACCUUGCGCGAAUGGAGCGGCCGAUGGCAGAUUAGGUAGUUGGUGAGGUAAAGGCUCACCAAGCCUUCGAUCUGUAGCUGGUCUGAGAGGACGACCAGCCACACUGGGACUGAGACACGGCCCAGACUCCUACGGGAGGCAGCAGUGGGGAAUUUUGGACAAUGGGCGAAAGCCUGAUCCAGCCAUGCCGCGUGCAGGAUGAAGCCUUGGUGUAACUGCUUUGUACGGUAACGAAAAGGUACUCUUUCUAAUAAAGAAGGAAGUCAAUGAACGGUACCGUAAGUAAAUAAAGUACAACCGGACUAACUUAACG